GAAGACGGGGUUGAAGAUCCGAGAGGCUGAGUCACUUCCACAAAGUAACACAGCUGGUGUUGCUGCUCUCAGUACGGUGGAAAAGGUUUCUAACAGUGGUGCGUUGGAGCUGCCCCAACCAGCGCGUGAGAGCUGAUGGUUACAUGAUGAGACCCAGCAGAGAAAUAGGAAAUGAGAGGCAGACGAAAGGAGAUCAAGCUGUCAGCUUGAUUCCUGACACAGGCAUCAUCUUCAUCCCUAUACUGAACUUCCCACCACUCACGCUCUGCAGGCCUCCUUCUUCAGGGGGACACUUCUCAAAAGAAGACAUUUAUGCGGCCAAAAAACAUCAUCACUGGUCAUUAGAGAAAUGCAAAUCAAAACCACAAUGAGAUACCAUCUCACGCCAGUUAGAAUGGUGAUCAUUAAAAAGUCAGGAAACAACAGAUGCUGGAGAGGACGUGGGGAAAUAGGAACACUUUUACACUGUUGAUGGGAGUGUAAAUUAGUUCAAUUAUUGUGGAAGACAGUGUGGUGAUUCCUCAGGGAUCUAGAACCAGAAAUACCAUUUGACCCAGCAAUCCCAUUACUGGGUAUAUACCCAAAGGAUUGUAAAUCAUUCUACUAUAAAGACACAUGCACACGUAUGUUUAUUGCAGCACUAUUCACAGUAGCAAAGACUUGGAACCGACCCUAAUGAGAAAUGCCCAUCAAUGAUAGACUCGAUAAAGAAAAUGUGGCACAUAUACACUAUGGAAUACUAUGCAGCCAUAAAAAAGGAUGAGUUCUUGUCCUUUGCAGGGACAUGGAUGAAGCUGGAAACCAUCAGUUUCAGCAAACUAACACAGGAACAGAAAACCAAACACCGCAUGUUCUCACUCAGAAGUGCGAGCUGAACAAUGAAAACACAUG